rnacentral:rRNA from 1 species
UAACAAAGAGAAGCAAAGCCGCGAGGUAGAGCAAAUCUCAAAAAAACAUCUCAGUUCAGACUGCAGGCUGCAACUCGCCUGCACGAAGUCGGAAUUGCUAGUAAUCGUAGGUCAGCAUACUACGGUGAAUACGUUCCCGGGCCUUGUACACACCGCCUGUCAAACCAUGAGAGUUGGCAACACCCGAAGUCGGUAGUCUAACCGCAAGGAGGACGCCGCCGAAGGUGGGGUUGAUGAUUAGGGUUAAGUCGUAACAAGGUACC